rnacentral:sRNA from 1 species
GCCGCGCUUCCGCAAAGAUGGCGGCGGCUGCUGGGAGCUGCGCUCGGCUGGCGGCCUGGGGCGGAAGACUGCGGCGGGGGCUCGCUGUCAGCCGAGAGGCUGUGCGGAGUCCCGGCCCUUUGGCAGCAGCAGUGGCCGGCGCGGCCCUGGCAGGAGCAGGAGCGGCCUGGCACCACAGCCGCGUGAAUGUCGCGGCGCGGGAUGGCAGUCUCACAGUCUCGGCACAGAUUUACAUUAUGCCUUUCUAGCGAAAAACUCAAGGAACAUUCGGAUACAACAAAAAAGAGAGGAAAGGCCUUAAAAAUGUUGAACAUGGAAUAAUAUGUAUUGGGAAACCGUCUCUUCGUAAGCAGCGCUUCAUGCAGUUUUCUUCACUCGAACAUGAAGGAGAAUAUUAUAUGACACCACGAGACUUCCUUUUCUCAGUGAUGUUUGAGCAAAUGGAACGUAAAACUUCAGUCAAGAAGCUGACAAAAAAGGACAUCGAGGAUACACUGUCAGGGAUCCAAACAGCUGGCUGUGGAUCAACUUUUUUCAGAGACCUUGGCGAUAAAGGGCUAAUUUCAUAUACUGAGUAUCUUUUCUUGCUUACAAUCCUCACUAAACCCCAUUCUGGAUUUCAUGUUGCUUUUAAAAUGCUGGAUACAGAUGGUAAUGAGAUGAUUGAAAAAAGGGAAUUUUUUAAGCUGCAGAAGAUCAUAAGUAAACAAGAUGACUUGAUGACAGUGAAAACUAAUGAAACUGGAUAUCAGGAAGCAAUAGUGAAAGAACCUGAAAUUAACACAACUCUUCAGAUGCGUUUCUUUGGAAAAAGAGGACAAAGAAAA